rnacentral:rRNA from 1 species
UCGUCGUCUUCGNAUAANGUCAAAACGACUCUCGGCAACGGAUAUCUCGGCUCUCGCAUCGAUGAAGAACGUAGCGAAAUGCGAUACUUGGUGUGAAUUGCAG